AAAAUUAGAGUGUUCAAAGCAGGCAGAUCCAAUUUUCUGCCACCGAAUACAUUAGCAUGGGAUAAUGGAAUAGGACCCUGUCCUCCUAUUUUCAGUUGGUUUUGGCAGCGCGAGGACUAGGGUAAUGAUUAAUAGGGAUAGUUGGGGGCAUUAAUAUUUAAUUGUCAGAGGUGAAAUUCUUGGAUUUAUGAAAGAUUAACUUCUGCGAAAGCAUCUGCCAAGGAUGUUUUCAUUAAUCAAGAACGAAAGUUAGGGGAUCGAAGACGAUCAGAUACCGUCGUAGUCUUAACCAUAAACGAUGCCGACCAGCGAUUAGGAGACGUUGAAUACAAAACACCACCAUCGGCGCGGUCGUCCUUGGCGUCGGUCCUUCACGGGGCCGGCGCGAGGGCGG
rnacentral:rRNA from 1 species